GGAAGCGGAGUGUUUCUGUUCAAGAGAUAGAAUCUUCUGAGCCAUACACAGUUAAUAACAGCGCUGAACAGACUGGUUGGAACGCAUUUUCCAGCCGUACCCAUGUUCCUGGCUCAGGAAGUAGCAGAGAUGAAAGUUGUCAGUCGCCAAUUUCACAACUCAAAUCAAUUUUCCCGGAUCAUUCUACAGAGUUUCUGCAAAG